rnacentral:rRNA from 1 species
AUUGAACGCUAGCGGCAUGCCUACACAUGCAAGUCGAACGAGUGGCGGACGGGUGAGUAAUAUAUCGGAAAGUGCCUAGUGGCGGGGGAUAACUACUAGAAACAGUGCUAUACCGCAUACUAUUGGAUUUGCCCAUAUUGGAUUAGCUAGUUGGUGGGGUAAAGGCUCACCUAGGCAACGAUCCUUAGCUGGUUUGAGAGGAUGACAAGCCACACUGGAACUGAGACACGGUCCAGACUCCUACGGGAGGCAGCAGUGGGGAAUUUUGGACAAUGGGGGAAACCCUGAAGAAGCCAUGCCGCGUGUAUGAAGAAGGCUGCGGUUUGUAAAGUACUUUUAGCAGGGAGGCGUUAUCUGCAGAAUAAGCACCGGCUAACUACGUGCCAGCAGCCGCGGUAAUUC